CUGGAUUUCAAGGGAGAAAUACAGAUAUAUAGAUGACGAGUCUUAGGUAUCUACAUGAUAUUUAGAGAAAUGAAACUCUGGUGAGAUCACUAAAGGAAUAAUGGUCAGUAGAGAAAAGAGAAGGUUCAAGGGCCCUUCGUUGGUGCAGCCCUAAAUUUCUGGUAGUGUUUCUCAGCUUUGGCUGCAAGUAGAAUUACCAAGAGACCUUAAAAAGAAAUACUGAUGCCUGGGUCCCACUUCUAAAGGUUCAGUUUUAAUUGUGCUGGUCAAGGCACUCCCUGGGUGUCAUGGAAGUGAGAGUAUAUCACUUUUGCUAUAUUCUGUUCCUUAGGAGCAAGUCUCUAGGUCCAAUGCGUACUCAAGAGAAGGGGAUUGUACAAGGGCAUGAACAGCAGGAGGUGGGAUCAUUGAGGGCCUUCUUGAAAAGCAGUCUACAGAAGUACGUAGCAAUGCUACCCAACUACAAGCCAGAGCACACUGUUGGAAGGGACCGCUGCCAGAGGAGCCUCAAAAGCUCUAUGGGAACGUUUAUUCGGUAG
rnacentral:lncRNA from 1 species